rnacentral:misc_RNA from 1 species
AAGGAUCAUUAAAAGGUUUAUCUAGGGGUGGGUAAAACCUCCCUAGAAAACUCCACCCUUGUGUAUUAUUACUUGUUGCUUUGGUGGGCCGCGAGAUUGCCUAGCGAUUGAGCACCGGCUUCGGCUGGAGAGCGCCUGCCAGAGGACCAAACUCUGUUAUUUUAUGUCGUCUGAGUACUAUUUAAUAGUUAAAACUUUCAACAACGGAUCUCUUGGUUCUG